UUACGGGAGGCAGCAGUCGAGGAUUUUUCUCAAUGGGGGAAACCCUGAAGGAGCGACGCCGCGUGGGGGAUGAAGGUCUUCGGAUUGUAAACCCCUGUCAUCUGGGAACAAAGCGCUCCACCUAACACGUGGAUUGUUGAUAGUACCGGAAGAGGAAGCCGUGGCUAACUCUGUGCCAGCAGCCGCGGUAAUACAGAGACGGCAAGCGUUGUUCGGAUUCAUUGGGCGUAAAGGGUGCGCAGGCGGCUCGUUAAGUCGGAUGUGAAAUCUCAUAGCUUAACUAUGAUAGGUCAUUCGAAACUAGCGGGCUCGAGGACUGGAGAGGAGACUGGAAUGGUCGGUGUAGCGGUGAAAUGCGUAGAGAUCGACCAGAACACCGGUGGCGAAGGCGGGUCUCUGGACAGUUCCUGACGCUCAGGCACGAAAGCCAGGGGAGCAAACGGGAUUAGAUACCCUUGUAGUCC
rnacentral:rRNA from 1 species